AGCAGCUGGUGAAGGAGAGAGACUCUAGGCUCGUGAGGCAGGGGCAGGGAAACGCGCGGUUUAAGAGCUGCUGGAUCCCCAAGCUUCAUUCUGAUGGCGCUUCUCCACGCUGGUAGGGGCGGUUCUUCCUGAGAGCAGCAGCCAAGCCCAGUCUGCGGCGUCCCCAGCCCGGGCAGAACCAGGUGAACCAUUAACAACAGAUGGAGAAGGAAAGGAUUAAUUCUGGCAGCAGGAACUGCCUGAUAGAAGCCAGAGGUUCUAGAAGGAUGAAGAGUCCAGAUGGUAGAGUGCUAUUCUCCACAUGGUUGUCUCCAUUUUAAUUGUGCUUCUCACUGUGCAUUUAACAGUAAGUACACCUAUUUACCCCCUCAAAAAAUCAUUUCCUAAUUUAAGCUAAUGAACUUUGAUUUUGAAUUUAAAGAAAUGCUGGCGAUUAUGGUGCUUAAAUAAAGAACUCCUUGCUUUGCU